UGUGGGAGCGAGCCUGCUCGCGAUGGCGGUGUGACAUUCAGCAUUGAUGUUGACUGACACACAGCCAUCGCGAGCAGGCUCGCUCCCACA
rnacentral:ncRNA from 3 species